UUCCAAUCCAACGUUUUCCUUUCUCUCUCUUUAUAAACGAUCUUCCUCCCCCCUCUUGCCUCUGUCUCUUUGUUCCACACAAAAACAACAACAACAUCCAUGAAUCCAAAACCCAGAAAACUUGGAUCAUCCCCUAACCCCAAAAUCAAAUCACAAGCAUGCAAUUAACAACAUUCAACAUGUGAAUCAUAACCUCGCAAAACUAAGUGGUGCAGAGACAAGGUGAAAGUGGCGCGGCUGAGCAAGAGGGCGGUGCGGCAG